UAACCUCCAGCUCCAUCCAAGUUGCUGAAAAGGACAUGAUCUCAUUCUUUAUUAUGGUUGUGUAGUAAUCCAUGGUGAAUAUGUAUCACAUUUUCUUUAUGUAAUCCACUAUUGGUGGGCAUAUAGAUUGAUUCUAGGUCUUUGCUAUUGUGAAUAGUGCUGCAAUGAACAUACAUGUGCAUGUGUCUUUAUG